rnacentral:rRNA from 1 species
GGGCUCGAGUCAGUCUCGGGGCCACCUCCCACCCGUGUUGCCCGAACCUAUGUUGCCUCGGCGGGCCCCGCGCCCGCCGACGGCCCCCCUGAACGCUGUCUGAAGUUGCAGUCUGAGACCUAUAACGAAAUUAGUUAAAACUUUCAACAACGGAUCUCUUGGUUCCGGCAUCGAUGAAGAACGCAGCGAAAUGCGAUAACUAAUGUGAAUUGCAGAAUUCAGUGAAUCAUCGAGUCUUUGAACGCACAUUGCGCCCUCUGGUAUUCCGGAGGGCAUGCCUGUCCGAGCGUCAUUGCUGCCCUCAAGCCCGGCUUGUGUGUUGGGCCCCGUCCCCCCCGCCGGGGGGACGGGCCCGAAAGGCAGCGGCGGCACCGCGUCCGGUCCUCGAGCGUAUGGGGCUUCGUCACCCGCUCUAGUAGGCCCGGCCGGCGCCAGCCGACCCCCAACCUUUAAUUAUCUCAGGUUGACCUCGGAUCAGGUAGGGAUACCCGCUGAACUUAAGCAUAUCAAUAAGCGGAGGAA